GGGAGUGGUUCCGGACUCUGGAGAAGAGGGCAUGGUAUCUAGAGAGCAGAAAGGUAAGUCCGAAGUCUUUUGACAAAACCGGCUUUCAUCAUGUCUCCUCCUCACAAAAUUCCUCACAGCGCUUUGUCCAGCCUCCUAUCCAAUAGAUGUCCCUUUCUCCAGCAAAGCAGAGACAACGAUCAAUUUUACUGAACGGAAUCUCUGGGUUUCACGGCAUUGUUCUGAGCCGUCAGUGUCCUUUCCCUUAAGACACCUUCUGAGUCCCAGGAAGCUUCCACCAGCCCUUUAGAAGCCGAUGUGGGCUUGAAUCUCCUCGGAUUGCAGGGCUGUAAGCAGAACAGAGCUCACAGGCUGGUCUACACUGCCAAAGCUGGUCCACGUGGAGUCUCUCCUGCACCAGAAAGGUGUUUGUGUUGGCUGGACGGGACCGUGUAUCCUAGGGUCAGGCUCCGGGGCUGGGCGAAAACAAACAGUCCUUUCUUAAAACUGACCCGGACUGAAGCAACUCCUGUCAAAAUCUCAACAGGUUUCUGUGCGGGGUUAGACAGAUUUAUGUGGAAAGGAAGCAGCCGUAGAAACAGCCAAUUUGGAGUGGGGGCAGGGAGAAAACUAGAAUCACACUUCUCAAUGUUGACAUUUAUAUGUAGCCACAGCAUCAAGACAGUGUGCGCGGAGUGGAGAGCAGGCAAGAUGACUAGAACAGAGCCCAGAACCUAGAAAUAUGUAGGGAGUGCACACGUCAGUGAUCCUAGCACUCGGGAAGGGAGGUACAGCCAGCCCAAGUUACAUAGUGGAUGACCCAUUGGAUACGCUGGGAAUGACCACGUAUUCUGAUGUAGACCCACGAAGUCCCUCUGAGUGUUGACUAAAGAGUGAAUGUGAGCCAAUGGGUGAAAGGCUGCCUUUCAACAGCUUGGAGCCGCUCACUCUGAGCCUCCCACCUUACACACCAGAGUCAGAAUGGAUCCUGGACUGAAACAGAAUUCUGGGACUGUGAAACUGCUAAAAAGGAACAAGUCGCCAGAAAAAAAAAAAAAAAAAAAAAAAAAAGAAUGAGGGUCUAGGAGAAGAAUUCUGAAACUCAAGACAAAAAGCACAACCCA
rnacentral:lncRNA from 1 species